UGCACGAAAUUUCUGUGGGAGAAAAUGGAUUUUCUAAGUUUCCUUCUUGUUCUCCUCACGGCAGUGGCUGUGAGCAGAGCCCAGGUGCAGCAGGAGCCGUCGGCGGAGAUCACCGAGGGCACCGAAAUCAACAUCACCUGCUCACUCCCCAACAUCCAGUCCAACGACAACAUCCACUGGUACCGUCAGCUCCCGGGCCAAGGACCCACAUUCAUCGCGAGUGCCGUUAAAGGCUCCAAGGAGGUGUCGGACCCGGAGGGGAGGCUGUGGGUGUCGGCAGACCGCCGCUCCAGCGCCCUGUGUCUCGCCCGGCCCCGGCUCGGCGACGCGGGGGUGUAUUUCUGCGCGUUGGUAGCACAGGGAGAGGAGCCGGGGCUGCGGCCGGGCACGAACCGCUUAGGGCGGGGCGGGGGCACAGUGCCGUCCGGGCCCGCAGGGGGCGCUGCCUGCAUGGCCGCCAAACUCCAUCCUGACCAGGGUUCACCUCCCUGAGUUCUCAACAGAAAUGAGCACUGCAUCCGCAGCCGUGAUUUACUGCGGCCAAUGUCAAUCAGACACAUCUGUGCCUGAGGUGACAAAAAUGGCAUAAGUGACGAUACAAGCUCUG